rnacentral:rRNA from 1 species
UACGUAGGGUGCAGGCGUUAAUCGGAAUUACUGGGCGUAAAGCGUGCGCAGGCGGUUUCUUAAGUCAGAUGUGAAAUCCCCGGGCUUAACCUGGGAACUGCGUUUGAAACUACAAGGCUAGAGUGUGGCAGAGGGGGGUGGAAUUCCACGUGUAGCAGUGAAAUGCGUAGAGAUGUGGAGGAACACCGAUGGCGAAGGCAGCCCCCUGGGUUAACACUGACGCUCAGGCACGAAAGCGUGGGGAGCAAACAGG